rnacentral:rRNA from 1 species
CCUACGGGUGGCAGCAGUGAGGAAUAUUGGUCAAUGGACGAGAGUCUGAACCAGCCAAGUAGCGUGAAGGAUGACUGCCCUAUGGGUUGUAAACUUCUUUUAUAUGGGAAUAAAAUGUUCCACGUGUGGGAUUUUGUAUGUACCAUAUGAAUAAGGAUCGGCUAACUCCGUGCCAGCAGCCGCGGUAAUAAGGGGGAUCCGAGCGUUAUCCGGAUUUAUUGGGUUUAAAUGGAGCGUAGGUGGAUUGUUAAGUCAGUUGUGAAAGUUUGCGGCUCAACCGUAAAAGUGCAGUUGAAACUGGCAGUCUAGAGUACAGUAGAGGUGGGCGGAAUUCUUGGUGUAGCGGUGAAAUGCUUAGAGAUCACGAAGAACUCCGAUUGCGAAGGCAGUUCACUGGACUGCAACUGACACUGAGGCUCGAAAGUGUGGGUAUCAAACAGGAUUAGAUACCCCUGUAGUC